GUAUCGUGCCAUACAUCGGGGGAACCCGCGGAUGAUCUCGAAAAUAAAUAGGAGGAGAUCUAAACAAAUCGGGAACUCACUAAGCCAUUGCAACAAAAUACACCCGAAUAACAUUUUUGUCUAGUUUAUGAGAUACAAUUUGCGGCAAGUGUCAAGUGUUAAAAUUGUAAUGUUUUUUCUAAAUCGUCAGAUCCUCUUCAGUUUGCUUGUCGUGGGCCCCAUUUUGUGCUUUGAAAAUGUUGGAGAGUCGAAGCCAAAAACGGAUGAGGCGUGUACUGAGGACUGCCGGCUGAAGGGGUAUUUCCUCGAGAAUGGAACUCAAAUUUGGCUGACUAAACUCGGCGAAAAGCAAUGCGAUUGCCUGCUCACGGAAGAACUGCUCAACUACCUGCGAAAGCGGUUCGAUGCCGACGAAAUCGUGGAGUUCGAGGAUCUAUAUAAACAGUCCGAUGUUCUCGGCCGGACAUGGUUGAAACGGAAAAAGAUCAUCGUGCAAAUUCCAGGGACUGAAUUAUUCCCGCUGUAUUCAGCAGGGAAGGGAAACAAAACAGAGCAGGGCAAGGAUCACUCCAAAGUUAAAGGACUAGUUCGAUCCAACCGGAUUACAGAGGAGUCUGCGGAAGCCGCGAAGAUAGCGGACUGCGAAGCGAAGUGCAAUAAAGCGCUGGGCUACGUCGUGCGCAAAGGGGAGCCCAAGACGCCGGUUUCCGUCGAGGCCUACAAUAAAACCGGGGACUACUGCCAGUGCCGAAAAAACCCAAUCAUCGUCGCCCUCCUCAAAGCUAAGUUACCUGACACGGGGAGCAAGGAGUACAUAGAGGUCUUCGGAUGUAAAACCGGCCCCGGGUGGGUACACAAAAAUCAAAUAAAUCCGUAUAUAAAUAAACAAUUCCUGAAACGGUACGGCCUCGACGUUGAAUUCUCCGCUGAUGCUGACGGCAAAGGAGGGGAAAUGACAUGGCAGAAGCCGAAACCCCCUGUCCCAGAGGAAUUCAAAGGAGGUGCCGAAGAGUGCAACGCCAAGUGUCAGAAUGGUGAAGGACAUAUUAUCAUCCACCCUGGAGCCAAUCUCAAGGGUGAAGGCAACACCAGUCAGCCUGCAAUUAAUCCCAAGGAUGGAGGGCACACCCCCACCAUCCCCCUGGAGCCAGUCCCAAGGGCAACGGGCAUACCAUUCCCGGCGCGACGGUACUUCAGCCACAUGCGGCCAAUGCCAAACCCGAUGCGGCCGAUGCCGACAAAGUAAUGUACAUCGCGACCGGAGUCGUGAAGAAAUGGGUUGCGGAAGAAGCAGAGUAUGAUACAUGCAAAUGCGUGGUCAACCAAGAGCUUAUCGAGCACCUUGAUGCCUCUGGAUUGCCCCAAAAGGAGUUCGCGACGGCUUUCGAAAAGGGACCCGACAGCGGUCGCGUUUGGCUCACCAUGCACAACAUCAAAGUAUCGUAUCAUAGGCCAGCCCGGGUCGACGAGCUCGCUGAAAAGAAGAAGCGCGCUCAAGAGGAGGAAAAGAGGCUGGCUGAAGAGAGGAGGCUAGCCGAGGAAAAGAGUAAUAAGAAGAAGCGACACCGAUUUUUCCGCUUCGGGCAAGGCCCCAAGAGUCGUCGACGGUGAAGGCCACGUCCCGACGGGCCGUUUUCAUGGGGUCGGGUGAUCGUUGAAAUUGAUAGACAAAGCUAUAGACAAAGAAGACAAAAGGGAUCCUAUUGGUGGAAGCAGGUGGUUGUAAUGGACAAAGGAGGUAGGUGGUACACUAACCAAGGGCAACCCAUGAGAGAAACUAUGCAUGGUUAUACCAUCAUUUUUUCCCAUUUAGUCUGAAGGAACCAACCAUUUCAACCAAGAGGAUCCCUCCAUACUCCAUACGUCUUCUUUGUCUAUGACUUUGUCUAUCAAUUUCAAAAAUCAGCCCGCUGUUCUCAGAGAGAAAACAAGAGCUGCAGUUUGAAGUACGGGCUGAGUGGCACCGUGGCACCCCCUCCUUGUACGAGUCGUCUCUGAUUGGCUCAUCCACCGGGUGCCCACUUUCUGGGGUCCUUAUGGAAAAUAACACAGGGUUGAUUUUUAAUCGGAAAUAUCUCGAUAACAAAGAAAAAUUCAUGCGUCGACGUCGGAGAUUUCAGAAGCCAAUUCUCCAAAUUUUUCUGAAGCGAUUAAUGGCUCAGACAUGACACGUCUUUCUCGAACACACCGAAUUAUUUUGUAUUUUUAUGACACCAAAUGUCAUAUUACUACUACUAACAAGUCGCUCUUACAGCGCUUCUGCGCGCUCUGCGACACCCAACCGCCACUGAUAGCGAUCCUGCCAUAGCUCCUCCGGCAGAUCGCAUCUCCUCAUUUCCUGCCUUAUUCCCUCAAUCCACGAUUUAGCAGGGCGUCCUCUACGCUUUCUGCCAGGGGGACCCAAUCCAAAACCUUCUUAGGCAACCUAUCAUCUGGCAUCCGUUGCACAUGACCAUACCAGACAAGCUGUUUUGUAAAAAUGUCAUGCACUAUGUUGUUUUCGACGCCCAUAAUUUCACGGAUCCUCUCAUUCCGAACGUGAUCCUUUCUCGAAACUCCGGCCGAUCUACGCCAGUAGUCCAUUUCGGUUGCCUUAAAAAUGUCCUGGGACCGUUUCUUUAACUGCCACACCUCGCUGCCAUAGGUUAAUAUGCUCUUGAUGAUGGAGUUAUACAUUCUCUUUUUGUUAACUUUGGAUAUUGACUGGUCCCAAAGAAUACCAUUCAUCAUUCUAAUGGCUUUCCUCCCCUGCAGAUUCCGAUCUUUGAUUGCCUGGUCCAUUUUGCCAUCAGAUGUUAAGCGCACACCUAGGUACUUGUAUUGUUCACAACCUCUGAUCUUCUGACCAUCCUCUAACUCUAUGCUUUGCUGAUCGCCUCCUACCGUUAACUUCUCUGUUUUUCGGAUGCUGACUUCUAGACCCCACUUCCGAUAUUCGACAACCAACUUCCGAGCCAUAUAUUCCGCAUCUUCCGCAUCCUGAGCAACCACCACCUGGUCAUCAGCAAAGCACAAAGUGAAAAGGGUGCCGAUCUCAUCUAAAGGAACGCCCAUGCCAGCACACUUGCUUUUCCAUUCUUUUAAGACUUGUUCCAAGAAAACUUUAAACAAAGUAGGCGAAAGACAACACCCCUGUUUUAAUCCCUUGUUUACAUAAAAACCCUCGGAAAAUCUCCCCUGACACCGAAUUUUAGAAUAAGCCCCCCGAUAAAACUGCUUAAUCGCUACGAUAAGUCCCCCAGUAAAACCAGAUUUUUCCAAAGCCUCCCAGAGUUUCAGCAGAGGUACACUAUCAUAGGCUUUUUGAAGAUCUACGAAAACUAAGUGCAGCUCUUGUCCUACUGCCAAUCUUUUCUCAAUUUGUUUAUACGCAGUCUUAUCUGUGGCGCUUCUGGACGCCAGGAAGUUGUGGUACUUUUUCCUUUUUUCGAUGAUUUCUUCUUCGAUGUGACCAUCCCACCAAUAUGGUUUCCCCUUUGAAUUUCCUUCCUCACAAACUCCUAGAGCCUCCUUCGCAGCAGCGUGAAUGCACUCCUUAAUGCACUCGUACUGUUGUUCGGUACUGUCAAACGUUCCCUCUGAAAGCUUCUCAUCCAAUCGCUUCCGAUACAAACCCUAGAUAAGAGACCAAAUGUCAUAUUACAAGAUGAAAAAACUAAAUUCCAGGUCGAACUGUUUGGAGUGAUUGAGAAAAAAGUGUCAUGUUUAACCUUUCAAUCUCUUUAUAGAAAAAUCUGGAGAGUUCAUUUCUGAGAUCUCCGACGCAUGAAUUUUUCUUCGUUAUCGAGAUAUUUUCGAUUAAAAAAACUUUGUGUUAUUUUCCAUAAGAGCCCCAGAAGUGGGCACCAGGCGGAGGAGCCAAUCAGAGACAACUCGUAAACGUAGGGGUGCCACUCGGUCCGUAAUUCAGUAUGUCACGGACUCGUUGUCCAACUUGUACAUACACUAAGCAAAAUAAAAAUCAACAUGCGUGCAA
rnacentral:lncRNA from 1 species